AGCUUUAAGACUCAUGCAGUCGUACGGUAACAGGACGAGCUUGCGGCUUCGCUGACGAGCGGUUGACGGGUGAGUCAUGUCUGGGAACUGCCUGAUGGAGGGGGAUAACUACUGGAAACGGUAGCUAAUACCGCAUAACGUCGCAAGACCAGAGAGGGGGAUCUUCGAGCCUCUUGCCAUCGGAUGUGCCCAGAUGGGAUUAGCUAGUAGGUGGCGUAACGGCUCACCUAGUGACGAUCCCUAGCUGGGUGAGAGGAUGACCAGCCACACUGAACUGAGACACGAUCAGAUCUAUACGGAGGCAGCAGUGGUGAUAUUGCACAAUGGCGCGAGCCUGAUGCAGCCAUGCAGCGUGUAUGAGAGUCUUCGGUGUCUGUACUUCAGCGCGGAGCUGACAGUAAGUAUACAUUGCUCAUGACGUACCGCAGAGAGCACGCUACUCUGUGCAGCAGCGCGAUAUACGAGAUGCAGCGUCAUCGAUACUGACGUCACGCGCACGCAGCGAUGUAGUCAGAUGUGAGUCUCAGCUCAGCUGACUGCAUCUGAUCUGCAGCUGAGCUCGUGAGCAGUAGAUGCAGAUAGCGUGAUGCUAGAUCGAGAUCGUGCAGCGUCCUGACGAGCUGACUAGUCAGCUGUGCAGCGAUGAUCUGAGUCAGCGUACAGUUCACUGAGUGCAUAGCUGCUCGACUACGUAGUACGUGUACGUCAGUAUCAUGAUGACGACGACGGUGACUGUAUCGAUGCACUGACUACUGCUGACUCAGAUC
rnacentral:rRNA from 1 species